GGAAUGGCGUCAGCUCUUAGGUCAUAGUUCUUUGCUUUGGCCUCGUCCCAGGCCUUCUGAUAAUGUUUAUUACUGAUGUUCAGAGCAUUGAGUUUUGACUGCAGCAACUCGGGAGUGUCAGAAGGUAUGGAAAUCUGGGUCUUGUCUUUGUCCCAGACCUCGCGGUACAGAUGAUUACUGAGUUGCAUAGCAUUGAUCUUAGCCUGGACAACAUCCG
rnacentral:lncRNA from 1 species